rnacentral:tRNA from 1 species
GGGCCCGUGGCCUAGCUGGAAGGGCGCCGGCCUCCUAAGCCGGAAGUCCCGGGUUCGAAUCCCGGCGGGCCCGCCA